CUAGCAUUCACCAAGGAUGAACUGAAAGCAGGAUCUGUCUCACCAUACACUGAGAACUGUAGAAUAUGCAAGGCACAUGGAACUUAUUUUCUUACGUAUAAAAGCGUGUAUAUGCUCCUUAUACAUCUGUCCUAAUGCUUUCCAACAGUCCUCACUCUAAGCCUCACCAAGACCCAGAUGAGGAAACAAAGGCACAGAGGGAUAAACUCAGAGCAGGAAGACAGCAAGGAAUAGCAGUGAAAAGCAUGGUGCUUAAUCCAACCCCUUACUCACUGCUGAGACCUGGAAAUGUGUUCAUCAGCUACAAAACAGGAGAGAUGAUAACUCAUUAUGUAUAUGUGAUGAUAAACAGAGACAAUAUAUUGAAGAGCUUAUAUGAGUGGCAGACACGGGACAUGCUUCCCUGUGGCUGGCCAGCGUGUCAUCUUCUCCAUGUGUCCAGAGAAAAGCUUUGCAAAUCAACCUCUCGAUGAAUGAUGACGGCACCAGUGAAAUCAGGGGAGGCAGAAAAUCAUGUUAGUUUGGUUUAUAAUGCAAGAAGUUACAGAACACAGAGUGCUCAAAACUAAGAAUGUGCUAGUUGUAUAACAGGGUCCUUCUUGGGACUCAGCCAGGAUUCAAACUAUAAAGGAAAAUCGGGUGAGCAGGUGACAGCUGCACCCUCUAAAGGCUUCUCAAAUGACAGAGCUCAAUGAAUAUAGAAGGGAAAAGUAUGAGGAUGACCUAUGAGCACAGGGUGGACAGUCUCUGCGGUGGGCAGGCAUUAGCAAAGGAGAGACCUUCUGUAUUAUGCAGAGUGGAAUUUUCCAGAGGCUACAUGAUGAGUGACGUCACGACAGAUUGAGUACAGAGCCAACUAUGAGAAUCCAGCUGCCUUCUAUUAAGGUACCCUUUCUGUGGAUACCUUCAAGUUCCAGCACCAAAUAUGAAGGCGACUGCCAUCACCAGCUCCCACCCCUACAUGAGGUCAAAUCCCUGGAUGGCAUAUAACACACUAGAGCAAUUAAGAGGAUCUAACUAAAGGUGGGGAAGGAAAAAUGUGUGUACAGAGACAGGAAGUCAUGGACACAGUUAUAUUGAAAGAUACAA
ensembl:lncRNA